rnacentral:lncRNA from 1 species
CCCCCGCGCCGCAGCCGGCAUCGCGGCGGGACCCGGAGCCCGGAGUUCGGGGGAGGAGAGAGGAGGACGCGAAUCACACCCGCUGCUGCGCGCCAGCCCGCCCCGUCUGUACAAUGGGAUGCUCGGGACUCGGACGGGAGGAUCCAGUGACUGCGAGCCCCGCAUUCGCCCGAUCCCAGCCUCACACCCCCAGCCAGCCCCCAGAGACCCUCCCACACUUACGAAGGAAAUGCAUGCGGCCAGGAGGAGAAUCCGCACCAGGAGGGAGCUCUACCCAGGAAAAAGAAGAAAAGGACAGAUUCAUUUGGGGUUCAGCCUCAUGCCCCCCACACCCAAGACUUUGUGGCUAAGAGAAUCAGGCCACCUUGAGGUUCAUCAAGUUCAUCCCAUUAAAACCUCCCAAAACUCUGGAUCUCGGGACUCUGUUUUCUCAGUAUCUUCUUCCCCCUGCGAGCAUUGGACAACGGCCCAGCUCUUCCUUAAGAAACCCUGAAGGGAGAAACGCGUGCAUGCGUGUGCGUGUGUUUUGGGGGUGCAGGAGGGCAUUAAUUACCAGCCGCUCUUCCAAGGGACACUUACCAUUGAGGCCGUAUUUCUCCAGAUUCCGCUUAACUUGGUCCGGGGUGAGGCCCGUGGUCUCACUCACCCCAAAAUAGGCCAAACAUUCCUCCGUGGUUUUAGCAUGAGCGGCCUCCAUUGUGCUCCCUUCCUGGGGGCCGGGGCCGGUGUGUUCCUUCCAGGGGGUUCCCACUCGUGGGGGGUCUUCCUCAGUGUGUCCAACUGCCUGUCUGCCUGGGUUUCUUCUUUUUACUCUCCUGCCCCCUCCAGGUUUUUCUUCCCUCCACAAAGCUCUGACCCCCGUCCCACUUGAGCAGCCGGCCACCCCCCGGCCCCCAGCUGGUCCUUAUGAGGGAGCAGGGGGAGGCCGGGCUCCCCCCUCCACCAGAUCAGGGAUUGGCUGGCUGAGACUCCAGCAGGAGGUGGUCAGAAAAGAGAGAUAUUUCUGCUGACAGAGGGGGAACAGUGGGGCUGCAGCCUGAGAUGUCACUCAUGAGGGACGCAAAGGUAGCCCCAGCCCCAGGGAAGUGGGGUAGGGAGAGACUUCACUUUCUGUCAUCUGCUACUGACCCUGCCCCCCCAUUGCCUCGACUUCCCCAGCUGCAUUGAAUUUCCCAUUCCAAACUCAUCCCCCCAGUUCUUCCCGGAGCCCUCUUCCAUCCCCGGCCUCACCUGUCCCUUUCCUCACACCCCCCUUCCUGCCUCAUCUGCCCGGAGCCUGUUUCCAUUGCCGCAGUCUCCUUCCUCCUCACCCCAUUUGCUGAAGCAGUGGCAGAGAUACCCCAAGCCUUUGGGGGACUGAUGAAGGGAGAACAUCUUUUGGGGGCUAGAGGAAGUGAGUGGCUCCUAGAGGGACAAGGGGAAGUGAGGGGAGAGAGUCAAGGGGACAGGGCCGAAGAUGGUAACCCUACCCUAGGGAGGGGUUGCCACAGCCAUCAACAAGGGAUUUAGUGUCCAGGCCCUGGUGAGCAAAGCCAGCACUGCCUGUCUCUCCCCAAAACUGCCCCCCCCCUUCCCCAUCGCUCUAACUCAGCCUCUGGGAACAGAGCCCUGAGGGCCCCCCCAUCCUGGAUAGGGAAUCCCCACCCCACCCCCAAGAAAAUGGGACACCAAGGCAGCCAAGUAACCCAAGAGGCUACAGAAUGUGCUGAUGGCAGAGGGGGAGGGGUAACUGUCUCAGGAUGGGGGCAGGGGUCACCCCAAGUCGUGCACUGAGGGUCACCUCAUCCCACACUGUGCUCUAACCAACGGGGUUUCUGUGGCCAGCCCCAGAGGCCUGUGGUCUGCGCUGCACUCUGCCCUGCUGCAUCUGUCCACGAGGGGAACAGGAUCAGGCCCAUGCUGUGUGCGUGCAGGAGCUAGGCAGACCCCACAGAAAGGUGUCGGGGCCUGGGGAAGCUGGACCAAGCAGGGGCUCCAGACCAAAGGAAUGGGGAAGGGUGGACUUCUGGGGACAGGUCUGGGGGAAAUAAGGACAGAUGUCUAGACCUAGGGGGAAAGGGAGCAGAGACACAGAGCCACCAGGGUCAGAGGGAAGUCCGAGCAGCAGUGGGGAAGAGGGACAGCAGGGAGCCAGGUGGGCGGGGACCCCGGCGCUGGGUGCAAAGCCACAAGUUGUUGCUGAAUGCUGGCCUUGGUGUCAGCUUCCUCAGAGAAGCAGCUGCUCUGAGCUGCCCCUCCCCACCCCUGCUCCAGGAUGGGGGCGUCUCUUGGUUACCACCAGGGCAGCUGCUGGAGGAGCCGAGGGAGGGUACCAGGGGUGCAGGAAGGGGAGGACAGGCAGGCAGAAAGGCUGGAUGAGAGUCAGGGUGAAAGGUCAGUGAGGGGAAGGGGCCUGGUGCCCUGGGCUCAAGUCCGUCCUCUGUCUAGGCCUGUUUCCUGAAAUGAGCAGAGGCAUGUGGACUUCCUAAGUGUGGCUUCUUAAGGCUGCUUUCCAUUCUGGGGCUCAAACUCCGAAGCAGAGGACAGAAUAGGAGACAGCAGAGCAAAGAAAAGGGAGGCCCCCACUUUUGGGGAGGGGGAUGGCAGCAGGGGUGGAUGGAACUUGAGGGUUCAGCCUCCCAGAUGCAUCCCUUCUGCCUGGACUUGGGUGAGGCGCGGCCUCCUGGGUGAGUUGAGGACAAGGUGCUCCUUCCUGCCUCCUUUUCACAGUUCCAACAAACCCCUCCCCUGAAGCAGAAUCCUGCUGUGACCUGAGGGGAGUGGGGGACAGUGGGCUGAAUUGGGGGUGCAGGAGAGCAUUAGCAGCCUCUCUUCCAAGAGACACAGCCCCCGGCACCUCCACCCGGCCCAGCACCCACCGUCUCCGCUGGACUCAGGCUCACACCCGCCAAGGCUUUUGGCGCUGGCCGGCGUCUCCCCACCGGCACCUGGAGGAGUGACAGGGGCUACUGUCUUACAGCAGUGGGAAUGCCCAAACAUGGAGAGGGGCAGACGGAGAGAUGGGCAGCUUCGAGGGAGUCGAGAGCCUGAGACAGAGGGCAGGGGGCAGGCUUGGCAGCACAUUCCUGCCAACAGGCCUUUAAGGUUAUUCAUUUCUACCUCCCCCGGCUUCCCAGAGGGGGAAACAAGCCAGGGAGGGAAAGCCACCCGCCAGGAGCUGCAGAAGGGCUGCUCUAGGGAAGGCUGUGGGUGUGAACUGCCAUGGAGGGAGGCUGAGCCAGAGGCGCCCUCGGGGAUCCCUUCCCACAGGGGUCUCCACGCCCAGGGAUGGAAAGUGAUCCUCCUGUCACACCUGAGGGCUGGAGCUAAAAGCAUGGGACACAGAGACACCCUGGCCAGUCCCUGAUGAGUGCAGAACUUCGGUUUAACCAUCUGUAAAGAAAGGCUUAGAGGGAAAGUCUCUCAGGCCCCAACAGCCAAGACAUGCUGGUCUGAGGAGUGGGUGGGUGUCCUCGUCCCCCUCCCCUGCCCAUCUUUGGAAGGCAGGUCCCUGAAGGCUGGCAGGGCUGGGGGAGGGGGAGCCUCAGAGCACCAGUUGCUGCUGGAAGAUUAGGAGGGGAUCAGGCCCUGCUUACCUCGGGGCACCACAGCCUUCACUGGCCAUCUCACUAAGAACCCAGCACCCGGCUCUCCAAAGCUUCCCCCACUUUCAAGGCCGGUCCUAUCCCCAGUCUCCUGAGGCCAAGGUUUGGGGAGCCCCAGAAAUUAGAGCAAGCAGGAGAGCCAGCAGGCUUCCCUCGGCUAGCCCCCCGCCUGGGUGGCCUGGAAGCCCAGCUGUCUCCUGUCCAUCUCCCUACAGGACACAAGGCCCAGAAUAGCAAGGUCAUGAGCGUGGGUAGGGCCUCCUGGAGGUGGGGGCUGAAGCUGAGGGGCAUGAGGGUGUGGGCUCCUUGCUGCCUGGGCGGGGAGUGAGGCAGGAUGCUGAAAGGCGGAGCUGGACAGUGGGGAAGGGAGAAGGCCGAGCUCAGCGGGUGGGAUUCUUCAGCCCCAGGCCCCUCCUUGUUGGCACCCACUACCCCCAGAGCUGGGAAGCCCAGGGGUGCCCUCUGUUGGAGGGCACAGCCACAGAUCAGGAAGACUGAUUCCAAGAGCAGAGCCUGUGUUUUACGGGGUGGAGGGGUGUGCCACAAUGGGGGUGGUGUUAUAAACUCAAAUGCCCACAGGGCCAGGCCCUCCCAGGGAGCAAAGUGAGCUGGUGGGGAUGGGGCAGAUGUGGAAGUGGACCCACAUCACUGGAUCUUCUGAUUUUUAAGAGAAGCCAGUGAUUUUUUUUUUUUUUUUUUUUUUUUUAGACAGAGUCUCGCUCUGUUGCCCAGGUUGGAGUGCAAUGGUGCGAUCUUGGCUCACAGCAACCUCCACCUCCUGGGCUCAAGCAAUUCUCCUACCUUAGCCUCCUGAGUAGCUGGUAUUACAGGCGCGCACCACCACACCCGGCUAAUUUUUUGUAUUUUUAGUAGAGACGGGGUUUCUCCACAUUGGUCAGCCUGGUCUCAAACUCCUGACCUCAGGUGAUCCACCCACGUCGGCCUCCCAAAGUGCUGGGAUUACAGGCGUGAGCCACCACACCUGGCCUGUGAUCUGAAUUUUUAAUGUGAAACUCAAAUGGACACCAUGUCCAGGCCAAGCAAACCAUGUCAGCAGCUCUGACUCAAGAUGAAACUUCACAUGUCACAGAUGAGGAUGCUCAGGCCCGGCGUGGCUACACCUUGCCCAGGCCAGUGAGUGGCAAGGCCAGGACAGAAGCUAGUGCCCUCUGCCAUCCCUCCAGCCUGGCUUUGAGAAGGGGGCCAUUGGGCCCCUCUGCGGCUACCCUGUGACUGCCACGUUCAAUCUCUUCCAGCACAGCCACCGUGCCUCCCAUCUCUCACUGCCAGCUCUCUCUAGGGUACAAAGCCAUAACUCAGGAAGGGCCGCUGGAGAUCACCAUGCCUGCCAUUCACAGCACUGUCCCAUGACAAAAACUCGCAGGAGACCCCAAGAGCAUCAUUUAGUGCUCCACGAACAAGGCUGUCAGACACAGGGAUGGCUCCGAAAGCACAGCACUGCAGAAUGAUGGGGACUGGCCUGGGCCAGCCCUCUGGCCUGUGGGCACUGAGUGGGCUGCCUUCCCAACCCAACUGUCCCCAGUCCCCACAGCAAACAAUGGCCAUAGCCAUCACGAUAGAACCGAGAUAAACCUUUUUAUUUAUUUAUGCUUCUCCAUUUUGUUUAAAACAACAACAACAACCACCUUAAUGUAACUGACAGCCCUUCCCCCUCACCCUGCCUCGGGCUGGGGGUAGUUAAUGGGGAAAUGGCCCCCAGGGUGGGGCUGACCAGAAGAGCCCCUCAAGGAGCUCAUGGAGCCCAAAUCCCCUGCCCUGGGGAGGGGACCUGUAGUGUGUGACGGGAGCCUCUCCCGAGCCUCUGCUUGUACCAUCAAAGAUGCCCUUGGCCAACAAGGGUCAGGAAGCAUGGGGGAGGGAUUUCGGCCUCCUCUGUCCCUACCCAGCCCAAUCUCACGAGCAGGGCUGGGGGGUUUAAAAAGGGUGGAGCGGGUGGGGUUGGCUCACACGAAGGAGUACUGGUUGUUAAUGGCCCUGGGGUGGCCCCCUUCCUCUCCAUCACCCCCUAGUGGUGACUGCUGCAGCUGCACCAUUGGGGGCACCCCCGCGUCCCCACCAGACCCAGCGCCCUGGGCCUCUGAGCCUGGGGCUAUGGCCUCUUCCAAUUCAACCACGGGGACCAGCUCAACCACGGGGACCAGCUCUUCCGGGACCCCUCCACCGCCCGCUUUCUCUUUCUCUUGCCUCUCUUUGGCUGCUGCGGCUGCUGCUGCCGCCACUUCUGGCGCCCUCGACGCCUCUUCUGCCCCAGGCUGUGGGGGAUCUGUCCAUGAAGGGGGUUCAGGGGGCUGGGGUGGGUCAUGGGAGGUGGUCGGUUCUGGAUAGGAAUGGUAAGAAAACAGACUGAUUGUGGAGGCAGGUGAGCUCCUGCCGUGGCCUCCCCUUCACUCAGCCCCCCAGGAGCGUGGCUGUCUCCCCACAUCCCAUCUCCUGAGCAACCCCCCAUCCAUGGAAGAUGGAUCAUGGGCGGUGGUGAGAGGAGGACCACACUUACACACAGUCACUCGCUCCGAAGGGCAUGAGGGUGCAGGAGGCAUCGGGGUGGCAUCCAUCUCCCUCGCACACCCCCGCAUGGCUCCCAGCCUGCUCCCGGCCUGGGGGGAGGGGCAACGUGGGGACAGAUGGGACGGUGGGGCAGGGGAAAGGGAGAGAUCAGACAGGGACAUGAGACAUUGAGGGAGGAGGGAAGGGGAUCAGACCGAGUGUCCCCGGGAAGGGCAGGCCCAAGGCCAGGCUGCGACGGAGGGCAAAGACGAGGCCAGGAUGGGUCCAGGAGACAGACAGACAAUGGAACAGAGGAUCCGAUGGAAUGGGGAUGCGCCCGCCCACCUCUCAGCUGCCGCCCCGGCUCCGGCCAGGAGCCUUCUGCCUUCCUGUGUCCUAUCAGCGCAUUUCUUUCCCUUCCAAACCCCGAGGCACAACAGCCUCCUCUACCCUGCUCUCCCAAGCAAAGCUUCUCCUUGUGAUAGUCCCCCCUCCCCGCCCCAUCUUUCUGGCACACACACCUCACUUCUUGGGUGCACGGGCACCUCCUCCCCUGCAGACCUGCUCUGCUCACCCUGCUGUCGCUGGGAGGAUGGGACAUAGCUGACAAGGACAACAUCACUGGAGCCUCCCGACUCCAAAGGGAUGGGGUGCACCCGGAAGUGCUCGAGCAUAUCGAAAAUGGACUGGAACCACAGGUGCUGGACCCGGCACUGACCCUCCUCGUUCAGCGACAAACGCAGGUGCUGAGGGCGGGAUGGGGGAGGUGAGGUAGGAGGCAAAGGCCCUGCCAGGUACAAACCCCCUCCCCCGGCAGUGCUCCCCCACCCCACUGCCAACUAUGCACAGAACAGAGCCUUUCCCACAGGGUGGCUCACCUUGGCCUUGCCCUGGAAGUUGAAGGUGAGGACGUAUUCACCCCGCCUUGUCUCACUCUGGCGCACCAGGAAGACACCGUGGGAGCCAGUGCCGCCAGUCAGCACCAACUGUGCAGCCUUGAGCCGAGAGAGCAUCCCGUGGAACCAAGGAUACCCUGAGAGGGGCUGGUCCCCCUCACCGCCCUCUGGCUCCCCCUGGAACAGGAAGGACCCUUCAGGAAGGAGAGAGGGAGGGAAACCGGGGUGUCAGGGCAGCCUCCCCCAUCCUGGGAGAAAAAAGCCUUGCCUUCCCCUCAAGGCGCCUGCUCCCCACAUGCGUCCCCAACUCCCCUGGGCCAGCUCCCUCGGGAUCCCAGGAGAGGUGGUCAGGAAGGUAGGCACCCAGGCCUGGAGACAUGCACACUCACACCUCCGGUACCUGUGGCUGUUUCCGGAGUGUCCAAGGGAGGGUAGGGGGCUGAGAGGGGAUGAACUGUCCCUGUUGGGGGUCCCUCUUCAAUGGGGAUGCGGGGGGGCAACUCUGGGGGAAGCAGUUCCAUCGAGUCAAAAUGGGAGGCGGCAAUGGAGGCAGAGCUGGGGGAGAUGGAUGCCGAGGGGCGGUCUGAGAGGCCCCCAUAUGCCCCUGGAAAAAAAAAGGGCAAAGCUGAGAACCCAAGAAAUUCCUCUUCUAAAGGACUGUCCUGGGCCCAUCUCCUCACCAGCAGUCUACCCUGUGUGCAGUCGCUGGCCAAGAUGCCAAACAGCUCUGUGGGUAGUGACCCCUGAUGCUUUUACCAAUGGCUCCUAACUGAUGCUUCCUGCGCUGCUGAGGGACUGCAGAGUUAUUGCAAGGAGGUUCUAAAGUCCCAAUGUGUCUCCAUCUUUUUCUGAAUCAACAGCUGAAAGACUGUUGCAGAAACGGAGAGCAGAAUGCCUUAAAUAUAUAUAUACAUGUUUUUGUAGAGAAGGGGUCUCGCUAUAUAAUAGCCCAGGUUGGCCCUGAGUUCCUGGACUCAAGUGAUCUGCCCACCUCAGCUCUGGGAUUACAGGCGUGAGCCACCGUGCCCAGCUGCCUCAAAUAUUUUGACAUUCAAAAGGAGUCCUGGGCCAGGCGCAGUGGCUCACACCUGUAAUACCCGCACUUUGGGAGGUUGAGGCAGGAGGAUCACUUGAGCUUAGGAGUUCGAGAGCAGCCUGGGCAACAUGGUGAAACACCAUCUCUACUAAAAAUACAAAAAUUAGCUGGACGUAGUGGUGCACACCUGUAAUCCUAGCUACCUGGGAGGCUGAGGCAGAAGAAUUGCUUGAACCCGGGAGGCAGAGGUUGCAGUGAGCCGAGAUUGUUUCACUGCACUGCAGCCUGGGCGACAGAGCAAGCCUCUGUCUCAAAACACACACACACACACACACACACACACACACACACACGGAAUUCUGGCUGCACACAGUGGCUCACGCCUGUAAUCCCAGCCUUUUGGGAGGCUGAGGUGUGAGAAUGACUUGAGCCCAGGAGUUCAAGACCAACUUGGGCAACAUGGUGAGACCCCAUCUCUUACAAAAAAUAAAAAAUUAGCUAGGUGUGGUGGUGGCACACGCCUGUGGUCCCAGCACCUUAAGCCGCUGACGCAGGAAGAUGGCUUGAGCCAGGGAGGUCAAGGCUGCAGGAAGCUGUGACUGCACCACUGCACUCCAGCCUGGGAGACAUAACAAGACCCUAUCUCAAAAACAAAAACACAAACAAUAAUUUUUUAAAAAUAAAAAAAUUAAACACACAAACAAAAAAAAAAAGGUGUCCUUUGUUGAACUAUAGGACAAAGCCCCUAACUCUUAAGAGGCAUCAAAGAUGCUCCUUCUAUUACUCCCCCAACCCACACCAACUUGAGCUUUACCUUACCUUGUAUUCAUGUCUCUUCCACUUUAACCCAAUUUCCCAUCCAAUUUGUCCCCAUAUCCUGGGCCCUCCCCGCAGGUCUCUGCUCUUGCCCUUCACGUCCCCAGGCAUGUCCUCUCCUCUCCUCGGCGUCGCAGUCCCUGUCUCUCCCACCUUCCCCUGCUCUCUUCCUCCUGAGCUCCCAACGUGAUUCCUGCUUGUGCUGCUCAGGGGACACUAAGCUUUCUAUAGGGAGUGAUGUCAACCCAGCUGAAAGCCUCUAGAGAACAAGGAGCUCAUCUCAGGCAUCCUAGCUACCCCAUCCUGGCCCGGGACACAGAGCAGGGCCAGGUAUGCACUAGGGCCAUCCUCCAAGUCUGUCCAACAGCAGGCCACUGCCUACACAAAUGUCAUAGGCAGGCAGUGCUCAGAAGACAGGCGUGUGGUGCACAGACAGCAUGGCUUGGGAAACAGGGUGGCGCAGCCCCUGUCUUCCUCAGUGACCCUCAGGUGUCCUCUCCCUGGUCUUAGCUACUAAGAUCUGAUGAGAUGCAAGGUCCACUCUAGAUCUAAGAUUCCAUGAUUCAUGUGUUCAUUCACUGAAUACAGCCUGUGUGCUAGGCACUGUGCAGCUGGAACUCAGAACAGAGGGUCAGGAGAAAAGGCUAUAGUGGAGGCCGAAUCUAGAAAUAUGAGUUGGGACUGGGUGACACAUCUUUGUGUGUUUGUGUGUGUGGGUCGGGUAUGUGUGUUUGGUCAGACCAAAAAGUACAGAGUCAAGAGAAAACGUGAUUGCCCCUGACAGACACAGAGAUGCAGAGUAAGAACAAAACAAAGAUUUCUACAAAGUGUUCCAGAAGCUUGGAGAAAACCACCAUUAUUUCCAGCCAGAGCGGUGGCUGGCAGGACGCUGACUGAAAAAGUGGCGAGGCUGGGUGCAGAAGCCUGGCUAAGGUUUGCUUGGGGCCUGCGUGGGGUCAUGAUUAUUCUAAACAGCAAACUGUGGCUGUGUUCAGGGAUCAAAGACCAACAUUUGGUGGGGUUGGGGUAGGGCAUCUGGAAAACAGGGAUGGGGGCACAGUGGCGUCUGGAGAGGGCAUGGCGCCUGACAGCAGGGGCCCCGCAUGGCAGGUUCCGAGGCUCCGAGCUCUCUAAGGCUCCACCCUUACCCUGCGACAGGCGGUCAUUGCUCUCGCUGGGUCCAAGCAGCAGGUCCUGGCUGGGUAGACUCUCCGAGUGAUUCAGGCAGGACAGCUCCAGGCUGUCUGUGUUCUCCCUUGUAAGGAAUGAGGUCCCAGGGGCCAGAGGGAGGGUCAUGGGGCGGGGACUGGUAGCAGGGCAGGGUCUGCAGAGACAGGGAAGAUGGUGCUGGGAGGAAAGUCACCAGGUGAGAGGCGCAAGGCUGCUCCCCAACCCCACUCUAUGUCCCUUAGCGACAGAAGUCAGGCUUCUCACCCUGGGCUCAGGCAUUCUUGGAUGUCAGACACCCAGGCCUUCACAUGCUGGGCAUCCACUGUCUCCAUGAUAUACUCGGAUGGACCUUCCACCUACAGAGAUGAGACGACGCCUCAGCUGGGGCAGGGGCAGGGAGGAGGCUUAAUCCAUGCCUAAUGAGAACAAUGUAUGCAGGCUGUCUACAAACAAGAUGCAUUCGAAUUCUCUCUGGAGGCCGGGUACAGAGGCUCACACCUGUAAUCCCAGCACCUCUGGAGGAUCACUUGAGCCCAGGAGUUGGACCAGUCUGGGCAACAUAGUGAGAACCUGUCUCUAAAAAAAUUGAAAAAUAAAAUAAGGCGAGGCCGGGUACGAUGGCUCACACCUGUAAUCCCAGCACUUUGAGAGGCCAAGGAGGGUGGAUCACAAGGUCAAGAGUUCGAGACCAACAUGACCAAUGUGGUGAAACCCUGUCUCUACUAAAAACAAAAAUUAGCCAGGCGUGGUGGCAGGCGCCUGUAGUCCCAGCUACUCGAGAGGCUGAGACAGGAGAAUCGCUUGAACCCGGGAGGCGGAGGUUGCAGUGAGCCAAGAUCAUGCCACUUCAACUCCAGCCUGGGAGACAGAGUAAAAUGCCGUCUCAAAAAUAUAAAAAAUAAAAAUAAAAUAAAAUAAAAUAGGCCAGGCGCAGUGGCUCACGCCUAUAAUCCCAGCACUUUGGGAGGCUGAGGCGGG